AGCGCGCACAGCCUCUGGCUCCCACACCGUGAACGCUCGCGCGGCGCCGCGUCCUUCUCGCCCUCACAAAACGAUGCCAAAGAUGGAGAAAGGAAGACCACCGGAAAGCAAGCGCAGCAGGAAGCCCGCUCAUCCCGUCAAGCGCGAGGUCAGCCAGGAGAUGAAGAGCUUCGCAGAGAGCACAAUGAAUGAAUUGCUGGGAUGGUACGGAUAUGAUAAAGUUGACCUGCAGGACUCUGAGGCCGUCGACAUCAGGAGCCACAAUGGCAGAGCCAGACGGCACCAAGUGUCUGUGCUUAAAGAGAAUUCUGAUCCAAAGCCUGGAGGAAUCGGGAGCAAACUGGACUCUGGCUCCUCCGUCCCGGCAAAAGACGGGGUGAAAGAAUCUACAGGCUUUCCCCUUUCUCCUUCGUCGUCCUCGUUCUCUCCUCACAUGAAGGAAUUGCACAGCACACACGUCGUGGUGCCACUCAUCAAACCAUCUGCAGUGGAUGAGCAGCAGAAUGUUCAGAUUGUGUGCGUGUGGUGUCAGAAGGAGGGACUUAAACGCUACUCUCUGAUCAUGGGCUCAGAGCUCAAGAGCUUCUGCAGCGAGAAGUGUUUUGCCAUGUGCCGGCGAGCCUACUUUAAACGCAACAAGGCUCAAAAUGAAAAUCGGCACCGCGAUCAGUCUUCUCCUCCGCCUCCUGGCCAAACAGAGGAAACGCCACCUCAGAUCAUGCUUAAGAUGAACAACACACGAGUCUGCGAUUGGUGCAAACACGUGCGUCACACCAAGUACCUUGACUUAGGUGCAGGUGAUGACAGACUGCAGUUCUGCAGCACCAAGUGCCUUAACCAGUACAAAAUGGACAUUUUUUACCGUGAGGCCCGAGCUGCACUUACAACAUCUGGCUCUAGUCCGAGCCAUCCAGAAAACGAGAAUCGUCCAGCUGGAGAGAACGAGACUCUGCUGACACCUGAAUCAUGGAACAACCCUUCUAUGGAAGGAGACAGCAAAGAAAUAGUGUCGCCCAAAGUUUCCACGCCUGUGUCAUCUUCAUCUUCAUCAGUAUAUUCUGUUAGAGCAUCUGUCUUGGCUCAGCAGAAGGAAAGAGAAAGCUCUGCUUCGUCUCAGCUCCGGACUGGGACUCCGGUGCCAUCUACUCCUCCACCUCAUGUUGUUGUAGAGCAACCAUGGGUGAUACAGAAGCCGCCAUCCUUUAACCAGGCAGCUAUUCAUGCACGGCCCAGAAACCCAGGAUCCAGUCCACAUCACAGACCCUCACACACAUCUCCGCAGGUACACACACCCAUGGUUCGGCCGAUUCCCCCACCGCUUUUACACCCAUAUCCGGGUUCGAUGAUGCACUGUGCUUCCACCUACCCUCACCCAAUUCCUUCAAUCAUGCCAACACUGGGUCUGCCAUGUCCACAACCGACUGUCUUGGUGCCAUAUCCGAUUGUAGUCCCUCUCCCUGUUCCUGUGCCAAUUCCUAUACCGAUACCAGUGAACUCAGAGGCUUUUGGACAUGCCAGGGUUAUUCGUAACCACAAGGAGAAGGAGAGGACAGGAAGAGAUGCAUUUUCAGUCACUCCUGAAGAUUUACCAAGAGCACAGAUGUCUAAAGUUCAGGAUACUACCAGUGUAGUCUUAGCGGAGCACAAAGUAAAGACGGAGCAGAUUUCCUCUCCAGACCCAUACUCUGCUGCUUUCUCAUUGCACCCUUUCCAAAUCUCACCUGCUCGUCCACAGGCCAGUCCUACUCCUCCCCUGCCAGACAACCAGAGACAAGAAGUUAGGGAGCGACAUGUGAUACAAAGAGUGGCAUGCAAAGUGAAGCAGGAACGUGAAACAGAGUUCGACCACAGUAAGCACACCGAGUUUGAGCCCGAGAAAGUUUGGGCCAGUAAGAGUGAUGAAAACAAUCCAAUAGCACAACAAAUGUCCGCUAAAUCUUACACAGGCACUUUAAAGCACACGUUCACACAUUCAGCCCCUGAAAGUGUAUCUUCCCCGGCAGACUCGUCAAACACACGGGCUUCAAUCAUUCUACAGAAAGCACUCAACACAACAUCCGUCGUCACUCCCACAGCAUCUAUAAUAUUGAACAGCGCAGUUGCCACUUCUAACUCCAUUCACUCCGCUUACUCUGCAACAUGCCCUCCCACAGUUCAGACUGACCCAGAUCAAAGAACAAGCUCUGGCCAACAUUCAUCUCCGCUCCCCGAAUCCGAGGAUGUGAAAGAGAAUGUCUCGGGAGAACGGGAACCUGGCGCAAACUGUCCCCUUCCAGCAGAGCAAACAGACUCCCAAACCGACCAAUCAGAAGAGGGCAAGGGUGGAGCCGCCGACAAUGACGCUCUCGCAGCCGACGAGCACGCGUACGCGCGAUCCAUCCCGCCGAAAUUACGUGAAAAGAAUACACACACGAUCACCCUGACAGCUGCACACACACUUGCUCAAGUGGUCACUCAUAGUUGGGACAAGAGCUUGCAAGCGCAUGUUCCUGCUUUCGAGCAAAGUGGCGCACUUACUGAAUUAAAGCCGGCUUUGAAGAGGAGAUGCCUAAGGAUCAGAGACCAGAACAAAUGAUGCGCAGGUAUUCACACAAGCAUACAGUUGCACAAAUGCACACACUAUAUACACACAUUCCGAUUCAAGCAAGCGGUGGAAGAUCUAUAGCCGGGUCUACUAAUAUAGGGUAAAGAGAGCAAAUAUUUGUUUACUGGCAUGUAAAUCAUGUUUAUACCAACCACAGUGACUGAUUGUGGGUCUGGGAACGAGGCAUUAGAGAAUCGCAGGCCAUUACAGCAAGAUAUAGACAAGAGUAUUUGGACACCUGACUAUUCCAGCCAUAUGUGGUUCUUUCCCAAACUGUUACCCCAAACUUGUAGCUACACAGUUGGUUGUGGCAGGAUGAAAUUUUCCCUUUACUUGAACCCAAACCUGUUCCAGCUUAUCACUGCACCUUCGCACAAACCUACCUCCAUGAAGAUAUGGUUUGGACAGAAAGAUCUCCUGCUAUUAAACAUCUUUGGGAUGAAUUGGAACACACCCCAACUGCACCCUCCCUCCUCACUUUACUUAUAUCAGUACUUUAUUACCACCCUUAUAGCUGAAUGAGCACAAAUCGAGUGGGACAUCUUCUCAGAAGAGUGGAGGUUAUUAGAACAGCAAAUGGGGGCUAAAGGUGGAAUGUGCUGUUUCAAGUCAUAAAUGUGGGAAAGUAUCUGUGAACUUGAGUUUGUAGAAGUGUUUAUGGUGAUUUCAUUAUUUAUAUUUAAUUUCUCCGUUAGUCAUACCUUCUUGUUUUCUCUCUCUUUCUCUCUCUCUCACACACACACACGCACACACGCACACACAAACACAUACACCAAAUAAAACUACACAGUCCAAGUGCAUGUCCCACAUAAUGACUCAGAACAGUUAAACAGUCCUUUUUAUAGCUCUAAGGUUUCAGCAGUAGAAGGAAAAAACUGAAACGCAAGACACAACUGAAAAUCCCUGACACAAGCUAGUCUAAUAAAGUGUGUGUGUGUGUGUGUGUGUGUGUGUGUGUGUGUGUGUGUGUGUGUUUGAGGUGUAUGUAUAGCUCCAGAUGUUUCUGUUGGAGGGCUUUGUCUGUGCUCUCAGGUUACUGCAGAAAUAGGGAUAGUGUGUGUACAUGGAUUUAGCCCUUUGUGGGGACCAAAACAAGACAGGCGGUCCCCACAAUUCUAGGAUUGUGCCUGUUGGUCCUCAGGAAACCUAGAUACAAGAGAUUCAGCUUUUGCAGGAUCUCCAGAUGAACAUACGUACAGUAUAUCUGCGUGAUAUAUUUUACGAAUUAUGCCCGCGAUUGUAUUCCAUUCCUCGGUCAUUAGUGUGGCGCUGUUAUCGUGUUUCUUUGCGAAACCCAAAGCCUGCGUGUUUGCAACACUACCCUUCAAAAACCCAUUCUUUGAGCAUAUGCUUCCAAAGCAGUUACUUUAUACUUUAAUAACCUCUGCAGUAGACCUGACAAAUAUACUGGGAAUAAUGUCAACUGGAAUUGAUAGUGGCGUAUUAUUUUUCCCCCUGUUGCCAUAUCGGAAUGUUUCUGCUUUGCAGUCCAGUGAGCUUGCGAUCGAAACCAGAGGAACCAUGCGUAUUUAAACGUAAUCAGAAUUGUCAUUCGGUCGUAUCACACUCUAAUUAUGGGAAUUUCCAUUCAAAUUCAAAUGUUUCCUCAUUCAAUUGUUGUACUUGCAUCAUAUUUGUCUAAGAAAUGAUCUUGUCAGAUGAUAUGGACAAAAAAAGCAUUGGGACAAGCAACUUUCCCUGCUAUAUUUGUUCCAUCUCCAAACUGUUACCACAAAGUCAGAGACACACAUGUUUAGGAUGUCAUGGGUUAACAUGGAAGAUUCUGAGUGGCCCGCUAUAGAGCUAUAAACCCUACUGAACACCUUUGGAACGAAUUGGAAGGCACCCCUGGACUUCCCUCUCUACAUCCGUCUGACUUUAAUAACACCCUUGUGGCUGAAUGAGCGCAAAUCUCCACAGCCACACUCUAGAGCAGCAUCUUCUCAAAAGAGUGGAGGUUAUUAUAUCAGGAUACAGGGAUAAAUCUGGAAAAAAGCACUUAUCUAAUAGUCAGAUCACUCGUGGAGUGAACUUCCUUUUUUUUUUCUUGUGUAUCUGAAGUCAGAUACAGAUUGCACACCUUUCCCUUGGUGCUGGAAAUGAGCAGGGAAACAGAGACGAGUUGAACGAAAAGCUCAGUGACUGAUAAAUGGGCCCAGAUGUUCAUCCUGACUAUUGGAUAUAAUCAUACCUAGGGCUUAGGAUCUUCUCAGCACAGGAUUGCUGACAACCAUUUCUCCUCCACUGGUGGUUUAUACAGACGUAAAGAUCGGUGGUGUGUGUUUUCUGUACAGACACUUCAGGCUAAAUGAGUUCUGGGUUUUUUUUUUUUUUGGCUUACUGUCAACAUUUGUUAAUAUUUGCCAAUCUGUAAUGUUUAUUAGAUUAAACCUGCCUUCACAUACAUACACACACAUUUGUUGGUACUUCCUUUGUGGAAAAAGUAGAACCCACAUUUUUCUGUCAAGUGGCUUUAAAUGCCAGAAUGAUUGACGUUUAUUCCAUAGUUAAUACAAUUUGACUUGAUUUGUAUUCAACACCAUUUGAAAUAAUCAAAUGAAAAGAAAGGACACAAACGAUGGCACUUUUAACCUUUCGUUACACAACCUUGAUCAUCGCAAACAAGCUUUCGGUGAGAUUUCUCAACCUGUCUGGAGAACCUCAACCUGGAGAAGCCUCCUGUAGAAGGCCACAUCAGAACAGUCCGCUGUUGUGUUCUUUCCGUGUUGUGGGUCGUUAUCUGGUGGAGGACCCGGGAACUGCACCUGAGAUGGAGCUUUCUGAGUAGGUUUCGCCCCUAAAAUGGUUUGGUAGUCUUGAGAUGUUUCACAUCAGCUAUAUGCUCAAAGACAUGAUAAAUCGCUGAAAAAAAAACACUUUAACUGCUUAAAGUGUUUUUUUUUCAGCGAUUUAUCAUGUCUUUGAGCAUAUAGCUGAUGUGCCACUCAAAUUUCCUCUCAUCUGGACAAACAACACUCUCCUGGAAGCAUUGUGGCUGGUCCUAUUUGCAUUUUAGCAAAUUUACAAGUAUUUGUUUGAAACAUAAUCCAAUUAUUUAUAUUUCUUUUCAAAGGAGUACCAACACACGUCCACAUCUGUACCUACGUGAACACUAUAUGGAUAAAAGUAUUGGGACACCUGAUUUUUCCAGCCAUUUGUGCAUCUUCCCCAAACUGUUCCCAUAAAGUAGGAUGUCUUUGGAUGUUCUAACAUAAUCCAAACCUGCUCCAGAAUAACAAUUCCCCCUGUGCAUAAAACCAGCUUUGUGAGGAUCUGGAGUGGAAGACCUUUAGUUUUUUGGAAUAUUUUUCAAUUAAAACAACUUUGGGAUGAAUUGAGAUGCCAAAUGCACCCUGUUCCUUCAAGUACAUCAGUAUCUUACUUUAUUAACACCUUUGUGGAAUCUUAAAUGUAGACAUCUUCUCAAAAGAGUGGUUUAAAUGUGAUAUGGGAUGUUCAAAAAGCUUAUACUCAGGUGUCUACAAACUUUUGUUUAUAUAGUGAAUAUGUAUUGAUAUGUUUUAAUUUGAGAUUAUUUACAACUGAAGCAUGAAGUAGGUGCUGGAUAGGUGAUGGAUCCCUGUCAGAAAUGGAAAGCUGAAAUCAUAAUCACUGUUUUUAUUGAUUUCAAAUCAGAGCCAAAAAAAAAAAGCAUUUACAGACCGCACUCUAUUAACGAACAUGUGCCACUAUUCAUUAAUCUGCCAUAUUCGUUUUGAGUAUAGAAUUUGUUUUAUUUGAAUAAAAUGUUUACUUGUACAUUGAA